CGCCUUCAGAUUCAAUAUUGGAGGUCUGGUCUGCCCAGUGUAAUUAAUUAACGGCCGCGGUAUUCUGACUGUGCAAAGGUAGCAUAAUCACUUGCCCUUUAAAUGGGGGAAUGUAUGAAUGAUUAGACGAGGUUUUUACUGUCUCUUCCUUAUAAAUUGAGAUUACAAUACUUGUGAAAAUGCGGGUAAGGUAAUAAAGGACGAGAAGACCCUGUUGAGCUUUUAAGCUAAACUAUAGUACAGGUUAAGUUAAGUAAUAAUUUGCAAUUAAAACGAGUAAUUUUUUGUAGGCUUUUUGGCUGGGGUGGCAAGCAAAGAUAUUAAGCUUUGUUGUAGUAUACAUUUUUGUAUUUCUAGAUAAUAUGUAUCUAUAAAUAAUUAAAUUGAUCCGUUAAAAUAGAACGAUUAAAAGAAUAAGUUACCACAGGGAUAACAGCGUAAUUCUUUUUGAGAGCUCGAAUUGACAAAGGAGUUUGCGACCUCGAUGUUGGAUCAAGAUUCCUAGCGGUGUAGCAGCUGUUACGGGUUUGCCUGUUCGGCGAUUAAUAUCU
rnacentral:rRNA from 1 species